AAAUUGUUCGGAAUUUUCCCUAGCCCUAACGGCCCUCCACUGUGAUAGUAGACCUCUCUAUUAAUUUGUCCAUAUUAGCAACCAAGUUAGAAGGUACCACACAAACAAUGCUCCCUAGAAUCAUCAAGAUACACAGUACGGUCGAUUAAUUAUUUUUCUUCUCCUCUAAAUAAUGGCUGAACAACAACCCAGCUACGGUCGUCCUCAAAGGACACAUAUCAGAUUGCCAGUUUUCCAGCAACAUGAUAACUCCUUCGUUUCGCAGACAAUUACAAUAAAAUUUUCCAAAAUCGACCCAACUUGUCGGAUUCUUAAUUGUGAGCUCUCAUAUGCAUUUGUAAAUUCGCAUAUAGCUUGUUUGAAACUUUUUUUUUUUUGAAAAAAUCGUAAAAGUGGAUGUUCUCCGCCAGUAGAUCCACCGCGUCCAGCUCAAUCUCCUAAUCGCCACCACCUUCUUCCUCUAAAACCUCUACUCUCCGACCGAUUUCCGAAAUCGUUCUCUUGUGAUUCAAUUUGGCAGCGGUGGUAGAUACAGUGUAUCUGGUGAUUGGGUAGAGGCAAGAAGAGCGAUCGUCAUUGGCAAUAAUCUGAUGGAUGGCGAAGGUGAUUUCGUUGGAAACCAUGUUGAUUUGGUGUUGACCAAGUAAAAUAUUGGAGUUGACCGAAUCUGAAAGGAAUUUCUGGAGGGAAUCCAUUCGUUAUUGAACUGCGGAAAGGUUCAGACGUGGAACCCUAGUAUCAUCUCCGAUCACCGGUGCAUCAGAAAUUAUGAUUAAAGGAGGCUUGGUGUCAGGGUGGAGCUAGAAUGGUGGGAGCGGGUUCAGGUGAACUCAGUAAUUCUAAUCCAAACUUUAUAUUUGUGUUAAAAAUUUAUUAAAUAUAUUUAAAUUAUAAAUUAGAAUUCAGUAACUUAAAAUUAUUAAAAUUCUGAACUCAUAAACUUAAAAUUAUGACUACGCCUCCUCAAGUGUUGGCCAGAGUACAAAGAAAGUCGCCAAAAUAUGAUAUGUUCUGAAAAAUAGUUUGAGAGAGCUGUAGGUAUAAAUGAAUAGGAGAUUUUUCUUUCGAUUUUACGGUGGAAAUAAAAGUGGAAUUUUAAUAUUUUGGUGUUAUGAACACUUGUAAAAGGAAAAUGGUUGAUUAGUUGUUAAAUCUUGUAGAAAAAAAUGAUAUUAUAGUAAGGAAAAUGCCACCAUGGUUACACUUAUCAUCACUAGUUUCUGUCUUAUAAUAAAUGUAAAUAUAAGGUUAUUUUUAUUUUCUUUUUCUUUUUUCUAAUUAACGUGAAGUUGUAAUUACUUCCUUUGAGCAGGGACGGCUCAACAGAUCUCGGGGCCUAAGGCGAAAUCAUAUUCGGAGGCCCUUAAUCUCAGUAUAAUCUCAUUAGUGGGAUCUUGGGAGGGUAGUUUGUACGCAGACUUUACCCCUACCCUAGAGUAGAGAGACUGUUUCCGAUAGACCAUCGGCUCCCUCCCUCCAAGAACCCCCCAUCUUGCUCUUGAGGUGACUCGAACUCACAACCUCUUGAUUGGAAGUGGAGGGUGCUCACCACUAGAGCAACCCACUCUUGUCAGAUAUACUAAUUAAUGAGGGAAGAAAAUUAUCAUAAUCUAUAAAUUUAUUGUAUAAAAUAACCUCAAUCAAGUAACAAAAAAUAUACUGUAACACUUUUUUUUAUUCUAAUUAUUUAUAUAAAUUAUAUAAUAUAUAAUAGUAACAAUAAUAAUAAGAAUUUAAAAUAAAUUUAGGAGGCUUCAAAAUUUGGGGGCCUUCAAAAUUUGGGGGCCUAAAGCAAUGGCCAUACUGCCCAAAGCCUUAGAGUCGCCCCUGCCUUUGAGUAGUACUAUAAUGAAUUAAUUGGUGGAGCGUUGCAACUAUCUAGGGUGGCAAAAUUAACCUAAAUCUAUUUGACCCGUCUAACCCGUCCAAGUUUUAAUGGAUUUGGGUUUUAACGAUUUUAAAAAUGGACUGUUUUGGAUUAGCCCAAGUUAACUCAUCAAAAAUUAUAAACCCAAAUGGACCCAUGUUGAUACCCAACAUUGACCCCAUGAAAAUGCUCAAUCUUAGAGUUCUACCUUGACCUAUGUUCUGAAAAAUAUUUUCUUAUUUUUUCAUGUUUGAUUGGUUUAAAUGUUUGAAAAUAUUUUCUUUAUAAACUCAUUUUUGUCCAAUUGGAAAAAAAUAAUUUCCCUAUCAAGAGAAGUAAAAUAUUUUCCAAAACUUUUUAAACCUUCCCCAUCUCCACCAACCACCACCACCCCACCCACAUCCCCUACCCCACCCCCACCCAACCCCUACCCCACUCCAUCCCCACCUCAGCCCUCCACUCUCACCCACCCAACCCCACCUCUACUCCCGACCCCCCACCCUAAAUAUAUGAAAAUAUUAUUUAAAGUACUUUCUUUUCAUGAUAUAGAAAAAAUAUUUUCUUUCGUUUUAACAAAUUGAGUAUUUUUUUUCAUGACGUAAAAAAGUAUUUUCUUUCAUUUCUACAAAAUGGGUACUUUCUUUUCGUGAUAUCGAAUAAUUUAUUUAACUAAUUGUUGUUGACAAAAAUAAUCAUCAAACAUUGAAAAAAUGUGAAAAUAAAGAAGAAACACAUUAUCACAACAAAAANAAAAUAACAAAUAAAAUCUAUAUCAAUUAAAUAAAGGAUGAGUACUGACAUAUUUUUCAGGUAUCACAAUAAAAUAAAAUAAA
rnacentral:lncRNA from 1 species